rnacentral:rRNA from 1 species
CCUGGCUCAGAGUGAACGCUGGCGGUGUGCCUAAUACAUGCAAGUCGAACGAUGAAGCUUCUAGCUUGCUAGAAGUGGAUUAGUGGCGCACGGGUGAGUAAUGCAUAGGUAACAUGCCCUUUAGUCUGGGAUAGCCACUGGAAACGGUGAUUAAUACUAGAUACUCCCUACGGGGGAAAGAAUUUUGCUAAAGGAUUGGCCUAUGUCCUAUCAGUUUGUUGGUGAGGUAAUGGCUUACCAAGACUAUGACGGGUAUCCGGCCUGAGAGGGUGAACGGACACACUGGAACUGAGACACGGUCCAGACUCCUACGGGAGGCAGCAGUAGGGAAUAUUGCUCAAUGGGGGAAACCCUGAAGCAGCAACACCGCGUGGAGGAUGAAGGUUUUAGGAUUGUAAACUCCUUUUAUAAGAGAAGAUUAUGACGGUAUCUUAUGAAUAAGCACCGGCUAACUCCGUGCCAGCAGCCGCGGUAAUACGGAGGGUGCAAGCGUUACUCGGAAUCACUGGGCGUAAAGAGCGCGUAGGCGGAAUAAUAAGUCAGAUGUGAAAUACUAUGGCUUAACCAUAGAACUGCAUUUGAAACUGUUAUUCUAGAGUGUGGGAGAGGUAAGUGGAAUUCUUGGUGUAGGGGUAAAAUCCGUAGAGAUCAAGAGGAAUACUCAUUGCGAAGGCGACUUACUGGAACAUUACUGACGCUGAUGUGCGAAAGCGUGGGGAGCAAACAGGAUUAGAUACCCUGGUAGUCCACGCCCUAAACUAUGGAUGCUAGUUGUUGCUCUGCUUGUCAGGGCAGUAAUGUAGCUAACGCAUUAAGCAUCCCGCCUGGGGAGUACGGUCGCAAGAUUAAAACUCAAAGGAAUAGACGGGGACCCGCACAAGCGGUGGAGCAUGUGGUUUAAUUCGAAGAUACGCGAAGAACCUUACCUAGGCUUGACAUUGAUAGAAUUUGUUAGAGAUAGCAAAGUGCCACGCAAGUGGAGCUUGAAAACAGGUGCUGCACGGGCUGUCGUCAGCUCGUGUCGUGAGAUGUUGGGUUAAGUCCCGCAACGAGCGCAACCCUCGUCCUUAGUUGCUAGCAGUUCGGCUGAGCACUCUAAGGAGACUGCUUCUGUAAGGAAGAGGAAGGUGAGGACGACGUCAAGUCAUCAUGGCCCUUACGCCUAGGGCUACACACGUGCUACAAUGGGAUAUACAAAGAGAUGCAAUACUGCGAAGUGGAGCUAAUCUCAAAAAUAUCUCUCAGUUCGGAUUGUAGUCUGCAACUCGACUACAUGAAGCUGGAAUCGCUAGUAAUCGUGAAUCAGCCAUGUCACGGUGAAUACGUUCCCGGGUCUUGUACUCACCGCCCGUCACACCAUGGGAGUUGUAUUCGCCUUAAGCCGGGAUGUUAAAAUAACUACUGUCUACGGCGGAUACAGCGACUGGGGUGAAGUCGUAAC